UACGUAGGGUGCGAGCGUUAAUCGGAAUUACUGGGCGUAAAGCGUGCGCAGGCGGUUUUGUAAGCCGGAUGUGAAAUCCCCGGGCUUAACCUGGGAAUGGCAUUCGGGACUGCAAGGCUGGAGUGCGGCAGAGGAGACUGGAAUUCCUGGUGUAGCAGUGAAAUGCGCAGAUAUCAGGAAGAACACCCGUGGCGAAGGCGGCUCUCUGGGACGGUACUGACGCUGAGACGCGAAGGCGUGGGGAGCGAACAGG
rnacentral:rRNA from 1 species